rnacentral:lncRNA from 1 species
AUGGAGGGAGAAGGGAGAGCAGAGGGGUGGGAGGAGGAGGAGGAGGGCAAGUGGAGGCACGUGCAGGAGGCAAGUCAAGUGCUGCUGGGAAGGAGGUCAAGUGCCCGGGGAGAAGCCACAUCCGCUGCGGGGGAGCCGCAGUGGACGGGACCUUUCGAUGCUCCAGCAGCUGGGCUGAAGGGUCCCUUCCGGCCCUGCCAGAGGAUCCGAACCCAGAGCCGGGCCCCUCAGGCCUGCAAAUGGGCCCCAGGCUUCCAGCUCAGCCAGUCUGGGUUACAGGUGCACGCCCUGAUCACAGACCCAUGGCCAGGCUGCCUGUGGGGAUAGCACUCCUCCAAGGGACGCCCAAGCCACCAGCUCCACCUAUGCCUUAGAGCCAGGUCCUAAAUGCUGGGGCAUCUGAGACUCUCAAAGACCUUGCAAGAGCAGCCCUGAGCCGGCCUGACCCCCGGUCCUGUUUUGUGAAGGAGGAGACUCACACACAAGUCCAGAGGACAAAUCUAAUGGCAGAGAAAGGACUUCAACCUGACACUCCUGGGUUCUUUUCCCUGGUUGGCAGCAUUAGGCACAGAGAGCCUCACUGGGACCACAGCCCCCCUGUCUGGUGGAGUCCAGGGCACAACAUCUGCAAGAUGAGAAAAUGUCACUCAUGCUGCCUGUGAUUGCUAUCAAACUGAGCUUCUUGGGGCCGGGGAUUUAGCUCAGUGGUUCCACCACCUGCCUCACAAACGCAAGGUCCUGAGUUCGAUCCCUGGUACCAAGAAAAAAAAAAAAUCAGCUUCUUAACUCUAAAGCAAGGGGAUCAGGGCAAAAGGGGGGUAUUAUUUAACUCUGGUAAUGAAGCAGUAUCAUCUUACUUUCAAAACCGGAGAACAAGAGAAUAAAGUUAUAGGUUUAUUUCAC